UCUGACCAAGAUAGCAGAGUUUGUUAUUAUGCUUGUGAAGCACUAUAUAACAUAGUUAAGGUAAGAAUUCGACUGUUUGGAUAUGUUCAGAUUCGAUUCAAUCAUCUACUUAUGUGUAAUGACAUAUUUUAAUUUUUGACAGGUUGUGAGAGGGGAGUUUAUUGUAUUCUUCAACCAGAUCUUUGAUGCAUUAUGCAAGCUUUUUGCAGACUCUGGUGCAAAUGUACAAAGUGCUGCUCAUCUCUUAGAUCGGCUUGUGAAGCACCAAAAGGACUGUUUCCUCCUGAUCCAGAACAUUAUCGAGGACCGAAGCCAAAAGUUGCUAUCAUUGGAGCUGGGCUUGCAUGGCAUCUGUAAUAUUGCUGGCUUUGGAGGACAGGUUUUGACUCUUUUGCUCUUUGUAUAUGGCAUCUGUAAAAAAUAAAGUGAUUUAAUAUAAUCACAUAUUUCAUGUUGUGUGAUACUAGAAACACCAUCAAUGUAAAAUGUCGGUGCUAUAUAGGUCAACCAUCCACACA